rnacentral:rRNA from 1 species
UGAGGAACAUGACUUUCGGCGGGGGAUAGCCGGCCCAACGGCCGGGUAAUACCGCGUACGACCUUUCGGGGACAUCCCUGGAAGGUGAAAGCAGCAAUGCGCCGAUGGAGUGCCUCGCGGCCUAUCAGCUAGUUGGUGAGGUAACGGCUCACCAAGGCGACGACGGGUAGCUGGUCUGAGAGGAUGGCCAGCCACAUUGGGACUGAGACACGGCCCAGACCUCCGUACGGGGAGGCAGCG